rnacentral:rRNA from 1 species
CAUGGUUGUCGUCAGCUCGUGUCGUGAGAUGUUGGGUUAAGUCCCGCAACGAGCGCAACCCCUAUUGUUAGUUGCCAUCAUUCAGUUGGGCACUCUAGCGAGACUGCCGGUAAUAAACCGGAGAAGGUGGGGAUGACGUCAAAUCAUCAUGCCCCUUAUGACCUGGGCUACACACGUGCUACAAUGGUUGGUACAACGAGUUGCGAGUCGGUGACGGCGAGCUAAUCUCUUAAAGCCAAUCUCAGUUCGGAUUGUAGGCUGCAACUCGCCUACAUGAAGUCGGAAUCGCUAGUAAUCGCGGAUCAGCACGCCGCGGUGAAUACGUUCCCGGGCCUU